rnacentral:ncRNA from 1 species
AAAUUUUUAUGUUUUAUAAAUUUUAUUUUAAGUUUAUUUUACAUAUAAAUUUUAGUAUGAAAUUUUAAUUAUUUUAAAAAUAAUUAAAUUAUUAUUGUAGUAAUUAAUAUUAAAAAUUUAAGAAAUUAAGAUUUAGUAAUACAAAAAUUAAUAACUAAUUUUGUGCCAGCAGUUGCGGUUAAACAAAAGUUAAAUUAAAUUAUUUCAGUAUAUAAUAAAUAAAUUUAUUUUAAAAUAAAUAAUAAAUUAUUAGGUAAAAUUUUAAUUUAUUUAAAUUUUAUAUAAAAAUUAUGAUUUAAUAAAUUUUAAUAUAAACUAGGAUUAGAUACCCUAUUAUUAAAAAUUUAAUUUAAAAUACUAAAAUAGUAAAUAAUAAUUUAUUGAAACUUAAAUAAUAUGGCGGUAUUUUAGUUCAUUUAGAGGAAUCUGUUUAAUAAUUGAUAAUCCACGAAUAAAUUUACUUAAUUUAAAAUUUUGUAUAUCGUUGUUAAAAAAAUAUUUUUUAAUAAAAAUAAUAUUUUAAAAUUAUAAAAUAAAUUAAUUCAGAUCAAGAUGCAGAAUAUAAUUAAGAAUAUGAUGGAUUACAAUAAAUUUAUUUAGAUGAAUAUAAUAUUUGUAAAAUAUAUUUGAAAGUGGAUUUAAAUGUAAUUUUAUUUAGUUUAAUAAAAUGAUUAUAAAUUGAAAUAUGUACAUAUUGCCCGUCACUUUCAUUUAAAAAUUGAAAUAAGUCGUAACAAAGUAGAGGUACUGGAAAGUGUUUCUAGAAUGAU